UGGACGCAACGGAAGGGCUCUGCUGGAUGCUGCGGGACCCCAAGGCGCCUCUGAAGGCGCAUGUUGCCGUUCCGCUGGCCAUGCAGGCGAGAACAUUCUUUGAGGAUGAGAACAGCAGCCUGAGGCGGGCCUCCAUAGAGCUCUUUGGCCAGCUCAGCAAGUUUGUUUCCAAGAGGUCAUCCCGCUUCGGGGCUGAGGUGGAGAAGAGCAUGGGGACGCUGCUCAUCCACCUUCAGGACGGGGACCCCCAGGUGGCCCAGGCGUGCAGGGUGGCAUUGCUGCACUGCGCACCCUUCCUGAGCUACCAGCCCCUGCGCACGCUCGUGCGGAGCCAGCUGGCCGAGGGAGCGGCCCCCGCCAUCCCCACCUUCCUGAGCGAAGCCUGCAGGACCCUGCUCCAGGACUGCCCAGGGAGGCUGAGCAAGAAGGUUGCCCUGAGAGCAGCAGCUGCCCAACAGCUGAUCGCAGCUGGGAUGAUCUCCCAACUCCAGGGGAAGAAGUGGCUAAUUAUUGUCUCUCAGCCAUCACAAAAUGUUGCAACUGCUACAAAAUAAAGGGAGUUUCACACCUCUGAACAGGAACUGGGAAUUGCUUACAAAUUAGUGUCUGGAAUCCAGAGGCGAUACCCUAGCAGAUAAAUUAAAGGGAGGCUGCCAUUCAUCACCAUGGCUGGAACUACUCUCUGUACAUUGGCUGCCAAUGACUAGUGACCCUUAUAGGCCAUGCAUUUUCACCACUCUGCUCUCCCAGGCUGCACAAAGGCUGGAGCGAUUGCCCUCCCCCAAUUUCUCCAUCUCUCUGCCGGGGAAGGUAAGAGAACUCAGUUCUGAGGGGAAACCAGCUGUCUUGAAAUCCCUGGAACAGAUUUCAGAAGUGGACUUUGAAAAGCAGCAAAGCUGCAUUCACAGCUCUCCAGCUGAGACAAUGGAAGCUGUUCGGGCACAACUGGCAGCAUUGUUUUGUGCAAAGAAAAGAUGCCUCCUCUGAGGAGGAGAGACAGUGCAGUUGGGUCUGUUGUGGCUUACGAAGUCCAUGCCAACUUGUCUGAAAACCAAAAUCUUCCAAUGCUUAAAUAUAUGCCAGCACUAAACUUCUAUGCUUAAAAAAAUAUAUAUCCCAUUUGUGGAUUUCACUAGUGAAAUGCAUCACAUAGCCUACCCGCCUUGCCUCUCACUCUCACUCACACACGCGCACACACACGUGCGCACACGCACACACACACACACACAGCAGCUCUAAUGAAAUACUGGUUUGGUACUUAGGAUGUUUUCUCCAAUACUGAGAGGGAAAAUACAUAAGCACAAUCAACCCCAGCUAGGUAGCUCAGCAACACUUCCCAAAAGCAAAGGUUCCCUGAGCUGGAAGACCAGGUGGAUAAAAAUUACCCACCCAAAAAAAUAAUUAAAAAAAUUAAAAGUUAUAUAUCUUAACAGGCUGCUUAGAACAUGGUCAUGUUCACCACAAAACACACACAUUGAGGGGAGAAGGCGGAGGCAGAUUGUGAAGCCAAUAAUAAAAUGGUCAAAUGUCCCCUCUCCGCACUACAAACUGCAUGCUGCAUGGUGCCUUUCAGAACAGGAACAGGGCCGUGGGUGAGCGAGUGUCUUCCUCAAUAAGAACCAAGAUGUAUUUUUAUUUACAAAAGAAAGGAGAGAAAAGUUUCCACACAAAAGCACUACAAUGAUAACUCCCUUU